AUGGCCGACGAGAUGAUGAGCAUGCUCAGGAUGAAGGGCGGCGACUUGUAUCCGAGCUUCAUCGGAGUUGAUGUGGAGUACACCAGGGAAGAUAAACCUCCCCAGAUGGCAGCGGUCCUGCAGUUGUGCGUCGAGGAAUUCUGCUUGGUGUACCACAUCGCAGCGGCCACAAAAUGGCCCAAGUGCCUCAAACAGUUCCUGCGGGAGGAGAAAUUGUACACAUUUGCCGGUUUCAGCAUUGAAGGUGACAAGAAGAUGUUGAACUGGUCUGGUUUGGAGAUCAACCCCAACAACUUCAUCGACAUGCAGCGCAAGUGGACAGUUCCAACCACAAACAAAUUCUAUGACUCCUUGGUCGAUGUUGCAGCCAGCAUCAUCCACCCGUUCUACAAAGGCAUGAAGCAGAACAUCAACAAGGAGGAAGGCCACAAACUGUGGGGGACCACCCCGCUCCAGACAACCUCAUCGAGUACGCAGGAAAAGAUGCGUACGCCACGUACAAGUCAUGGAAGAUAA
rnacentral:rRNA from 1 species